UACGUAGGGGGCUAGCGUUGUCCGGAUUUAUUGGGCGUAAAGAGCGUGUAGGCGGCCAGGUAGGUCCGUUGUGAAAACUCGAGGCUCAACCUCGAGACGUCGGCGGAAACCCUCUGGCUAGAGUCCGGAAGAGGAGAGUGGAAUUCCUGGUGUAGCGGUGAAAUGCGCAGAUAUCAGGAAGAACACCCGUGGCGAAGGCGGCUCUCUGGGACGGCACUGACGCUGAGACGCGAAAGCGUGGGGAGCGAACAGG
rnacentral:rRNA from 1 species